GGAAUAAUCCUACUGUGAAUAUGUAUUACUCUUAUUGGUUAAUAAAGAACUGACUGGCCUAUAGCUGGGCAGGAAGAGACUGGGCGGGAGAGCCAGACUAGAAGGAUGCUGGGAAGGGUGGUGUCUGGACUAGAAAGCAGACACAGAAAGAAGCAAGAUGGGCGUGCCAUAAUGAGAAAAGGAACCAAGCCACAUGACAGAGCAUAGGUGUUGGAAAUACAGUAGUGCACAAGGGACUGGGAGUCCCUAUCCUCAUGGAAAUGACCCUAACACAACUAAGCAAAGUGGCAGAGCAGGUCCGGUUGGAUACCUCAGUCCUAAAAAAUGCACUGAUGGAAGACUACUGUUUGGCUGAAUAGUACAGCUGGUGAAUGGGAAGCUCCUGAGCUUCUUUAUGGCAACCGGUGCUCUCUCUACCCAGCCCCACUCCGUGAGGACUGAACAUCAGGUUUACCUGUGCUAAGACAGUAUUCUACCACUGAGCUAACAUCCUUGUGGCCUUCCUCGCUUAAAUUAAGCCCCAACUGGUCGACAUCUCCAGAGCUCAAUCUUCCUCCCUCAGGCUCCAGGCCGGCACUGGCAUGCCCAGGCCGGCAAGCAGUCAUCUUUCUACAAUACAAAUAUAAUUGCUCACACCUCUG